rnacentral:rRNA from 1 species
GCAGCCGCGGUAAUUCCAGCUCCAAUAGCGUAUAUUAAAGUUGUUGCAGUUAAAAAGCUCGUAGUUGAAUUUCGGGAUCAAGGGAUCGGUCAUGCCUUGGUAUGUACUGGUUUCAUUGGUUCUCACCUUCUAAAGAACCAUGAUGUCAUUCAUUUGAUGUUAUGGGGAAUUAGGACUGUUACCUUGAAAAAAUUAGAGUGUUUAAAGCAAGCUUACGCUUGAAUACAUUAGCAUGGAAUAAUGAAAUAGGACAUCAGAUUCUAUUUUGUUGGUUUCUAGGAUCGAUGUAAUGAUUAAUAGGGAUAGUUGGGGGCAUUAGUAUUCAAUUGUCAGAGGUGAAAUUCUUGGAUUUAUUGAAGACUAACUACUGCGAAAGCAUUUGCCAAGGAUGUUUUCAUUAAUCAAGAACGAAAGUUAGGGGAUCGAAGACGAUCAGAUACCGUCGUAGUCUUAACCAUAAACUAUGCCGACUAGGGAUCGGAUGAUGUUAAUUUUUUAAUGACUCAUUCGGCACCUUACGGG